CCUACGGGGUGCAGCAGUGAGGAAUAUUGGUCAAUGGACGCAAGUCUGAACCAGCCAUGCCGCGUGCAGGAAGACGGCUCUAUGAGUUGUAAACUGCUUUUGUACGAGGGUAAACGCAGAUACGCGUAUCUGUCUGAAAGUAUCGUACGAAUAAGGAUCGGCUAACUCCGUGCCAGCAGCCGCGGUAAUACGGAGGAUUCAAGCGUUAUCCGGAUUUAUUGGGUUUAAAGGGUGCGUAGGCGGUCGGAUAAGUUAGAGGUGAAAUCCCGAGGCUCAACUUCGGAAUUGCCUCUGAUACUGUUCGGCUAGAGAGGAGUUGAGGUAGGCGGAAUGUAUGGUGUAGCGGUGAAAUGCGUAGAGA
rnacentral:rRNA from 1 species